UCAGCCGGUGGAAGGAACCGGUGAAAACGGGAGCGAGCUGUAGAGACGCGGGCAGGGGAAGGAAAACACAGAGGGGCCUAAAAAGACAGGAAAGAAGCUGCACCGCGACCUCAGCUAGAGGAAAACGAGGCUAAUGUAAGAAUGAGGCUGCGGAGCUUUCGCAUUAUGCAACCGGCAUGCUGGGAGAUGCCCUAGAAAUGUGCUGGGGGCUAGGAGAAGGCUUUCCUUAAAACUCCCUGUGCCAGAAAGGCAAGAACUUACCCAUGCAAGUAUCACCUGUGGAAUGAAAACAACAAGGAGAGGUUCUUGGAGGAGGCAGCAUAAUAGGUCGAGAAGAACCUGGGUUUCUAGUCCUGAUUUUGCCAGUAUUGCGAUUUGGAAGGUCAGCAGAAACCAACAACCAGGUGCCUUUAAAUUAGCCUUACUGAGUAGCUUGGACUUUUAAUUCUGCACGCUGACACAACAGGGUUAGAUCAGAGUUUUUGAAAAACCUUUUUGGCAGCAGUGUGGAGGGUGGAUUGAAGGAGAAAAAUUGGAUUGGAGGGAAGGAGAUAAGUUAGGAUAUAGUCCAGGUGAAAGGUGAUGAGGACACUGACCAGGAAUAAUGCACUGAAGAUGGAAAAAGGGGAUGAAGAAAGAGCCUUUAGAAGCAGAACUCACAGGAAGGACUUCAAGGCAAUUAAACAUAAAGAGAAAGGGAAAGAAAGGAAAUGGGGAGUCUAAGAUGAAUCUAGGGUCCAGAGUCUAUUGCACAGAGUUAAAUAUCAUGUCUCAAAAUCUUUGUUACAGCUGCAUAAAUGUAUGUAUGUAUGGGUUGGCAGUCUUUGUAAAAUGUAUUUCUUUCCAGGGCUGGUAAAAAAAAUUAUUAAAAAUGGAGUAUAUCGGGGCUUUCCUGGUGGCGCAGUGGUUGAGAGUCCGCCUGCUGAUGCAGGGGACACGGGUUCGUGCCCUGGUCUGGGAAGAUCCCACAUGCCGCGGAGCGGCUGGGCCCGUGAGCCAUGGCCGCUGAGCCUGCGCGUCCGGAGCCUGUGCUCCUCAAUGGGGGAGGCCACAACAGUGAGAGGCCCG